AAAUGUUCAUUCUCCCGAAAUUUUAGUAGACACUGAUGUAUUCCUGCCGCCAGCUCCCAGUGAUGAUGAGGAGGCUCAUGGCCGCUUCUGCUCUGGAGGUGUCGUCUUGGCCUCCCGAGAUGGAAAGAUUGUCUGUGAAAACACACUCGACGCCAGGCUGGAUCUUGUCUUCAGGAGGAAACUGCCAGAGAUUCGGAGAAUGCUUUUCGGCCAGAUUGCUGCUUGAACAGUCGUGAUGCCACUUGAUUGAACUCCUCUUAUCGGAUAUGCUUUAUCCACCAGUGCCAGACUGUUUUCUGUGCUUAUCUUUUGGUCUUGAGGGUAUCAUACCAGAUUAUCCACCAGUGUGAGACUGUAAACUGUGUUUUAUAUUUUGUACCAGAGAGUAUCAUGCGGUAACUUGUUUUAAGUUAUA
rnacentral:misc_RNA from 1 species